rnacentral:rRNA from 1 species
UACAGAGGUGGCAAGCGUUGUUCGGAUUUACUGGGCGUAAAGGGUGCGUAGGUGGUCGCUCGUGUCGGGUGUGAAAGCCCACGGCUUAACCGUGGAACGGCAUUCGAAACUGGGUGACUCGAGUACAGUAGGGGAGAGCGGAAUUCUUGGUGUAGCGGUGAAAUGCGUUGAUAUCAAGAAGAACACCGGUGGCGAAGGCGGCUCUCUGGAAUGUUACUGACACUGAGGCACGAAAGCUGGGGGAGCAAAC